CAAAUAUAUAUUAAGUCUCUGGAAAACAAAAUAGUAAAGCCAGCUGCCCAAGCAGGUUGUAGAAGGACUAAAAAUGUUCUAUCCUAGAGUAAGACCUAGAGGUUUCGUCCUCAUGAAAUUCAUAACAGUUCCGCCUUACUGCAAUAAUGAAGUGGAGUAUACUGGACCGUUCAUGGUAAAGAUUAUGACUGUAAAGUAUGGAGACAAGGUUGAUGAUAUGCCAGCUAAAAAGUUGACAGUAACAAGUGAAUGGGCAAUGAAAAGACAUAUGCUAGGAUAUAAAGUAUUUGCUAAAAAUCUUAGAGAAUUAAUAAGAGCGGACCAAAGUUGGAUUUUUUAUGUUGGUUAUAAGUAUGUGAUCUAUUCGCCCAGUGAAAAAGGCAUUAGUCCAUGCAGUGAUAUCCAGCUCAAAAGGUUAUAUUCCAAGAUUGGCAGCAAUGAAGUCCAAGAUGUUCUGAAAGUGAAGGCUAAUUUGUGCGAAGCAUUAAAAGAAGUGGGUCAUGCUGCUUGUAAUUAUUGUAUAGAGAAAGAAAGCUAUAAGAGUAAUGAUGUAAUCAGUUCGUCAUAAUACAAGGGGAAUAUUGUAACAGAGGAUGGGUUCAACCUCUAUAAAAACCCACUAUCUUAUGUAUUUGGGCAUCGAUGGCUUGCCACUCUCUUCUCUUUGUAAACAUUUUCUCUACCAUGCCUCUAAAUAAAGAAAAGGAUUUUCCUUUAACUAGCGUUGUUCUUUCAGUAGAUCUUAAGAUAUUUUAUUUCUAAGCUUCAUAUUAUCCCAAUAACCCUCCAAGAUUUGUUCUAGUUAGGUCAAUCAGCAGUGAAGCCUCUGGAGUCCUGUUUGAAGGCUUGAUUUGGUGUCGCCGUUGUUCCAGGAUUGAGCCAUUUUCUUUGUCUUUCACUUCGGAGAGUUAAAAGAGAGAAUUUUGUGAGACAAAAUGUUGAUCCAAAAUUGCAGCAGCUUGAUUAUUCUUCAACAACACAUAUGGCUUCCAAAAUGUUUGUGCAUCUAGCCAUACCACGUUUUAAUGGUCACUAUGACCAUUGGAGCAUGCUUAUGGAGAACUUCUUGAGGUCCAAAGAAUAUUAGACAGUUGUUGAUUCUGGGAUAGCAAAACCAGCAGAAGGUACUGUGCUGACAGAUGCUUAAAAGACAGAAUAUGAAGGACUGAAGUUGAAAGAUCUCAAAGCAAAAAAUUAUCUUUUCCAAGCAAUUGAUCGUUCAAUCUUGGAAACCAUUCUUUGCAAAGACACCUCCAAGCAGAUUUGGGAUUCUAUGAAGAAGAAAUAUCAGGGAACAACAAGGGCAAAAAGGGCACAGUUGUAAGCACUUCGUGCUGAUUUUGAGACUUUUAAAAUGAAGAUGGGAGAAUUAGUUUCAGAUUACUUCUCAAGGACAAUGGCAAUAGCAAAUAAGAUGCAGAUUCAUGGCGAAAAGCUGCAAGAUGUCACUAUUAUUGAGAAGAUUCUUCGCUUAAUGACAUCGAAAUUCAACUAUGUUGUUUCUUCGAUUGAGGAAUCAAAAGAUACUAAUGAACUUUCAAUUGAUGAAUUGCAGAGUUCAUUGUUGAUUCAUGAGUAGAAAAAUGAAUCGACAACAAAGCAAUGAGGAGCAAGCUCUUCAAGCUGCUUUUAGCAAUCACUCUUCGGCAUCAAAAGGAGGUGGUAGAGGAAGAGGAAAGGGCAGAGGCAACAAUAAUGGUGGUGGGAGGCAUUCACACUAGAAAUUUGAAUAUAAUUCUCCCAAUUCUCAAUGAGGGGGAAGAAGUCAUGACAACAACCUUUCAACUCAUUCCAAGCCAACGUCGGCAAACAAAUCAAAAGUUGAAUGCUAUAGAUGCUAUAGGUAUGGCCAUUAUAAAUCAAAAUGUCGAACUAAUUUAAAUAGAGAUGGUGGAAGACAUCUAAUUUUGCAGAGAAGGAAGAAGAAAUCUCCUUGUUAUUGGCCUACCAAGUGAAGGAGGAAACUCAUCGAAAUUUGUCAUAUUUAGAUACUGGAUGCAACAAUCAUAUGUGUGGAAACAAGUCAGCUUUCUCCACUCUAGAUGAGUUGUAUCAAGAUUCUAUAAAGUUCGGGGAUAACUCUAAAGUUUCAGUCAUGGGAAAAGGGCAGGUAAUCAUUCAAACUAAAAGGGAUGCUGCUCAAACCAUUUCUAAUGUCCUUUAUGUUCUAGAUUUGAAGACCAAUCUUUUAAUUCUUGGUCAAUUGCAAGAGAAGAGGUUUGAGAUUGUCAUUAAAAAUAGAGUAUGUCGUAUGCAAGAUGAUAAUUUGGGCUUAAUUGCUCAAGUUAAAAUGACCUCAAACAGAAUGUUUUCUCUCUAUCUCAAUAAUAUACAACAAUCAUGCUUCUCAAUAAAACAAGGAGAUGAAUCUUAACCAUGGCAUUUUCAUUAUGGGCAUCUUAAUUUUGGUGGAUUAAAGACCCUACGACAAAAAGAAUAUGAUGAUUGGUCUUCCUCAAAUUUCACCUCCCUCUCAAAUUUGUGAAGAGUGUGUUGUUAGCAAACAGCACCGCAACUCAUUUCCACAAGGGAAAUCAUGGAGAACAAAGAAGGCACUGGAACUUGUCCAUUUCGAUAUUUAUGGACCGAUAACACCAUCUUCUAAUGGAGGUAAAAGUUAUAUAAUUACCAUCAUUGAUGAUUUUACUCAAAAAAGCUGGGUCUAUUUUUUGCAGGAGAAAUCUAAAGCAUUUGAAGGUUUUAAAAGUUUUAAAGUACUUGUUGAGAAAGAGGUUGGCAAUCCAAUAAAAGCUCUCCAUUCAGAUCAUGGGGGAGAAUAUAACUCACAUGAAUUUGCAAGUUUUUGUGAGCUUCAUGGAAUAAAGAGGCAACUUAUAGCAGCUUAUUCACCCCAGCAAAAUGGAGUAUGCGAGAGGAAAAACGCAUUAUUAUGAAUAUGGUGCAAAGUCUUUUAACAAGCAGUGGCAUUCCAAAAAGCUUUUAGCCUGAAGCAGUCAAUUGGAGUAUUCACAUUCUAAACAGAAGUCCCACAUUUGCAAUUCAAAACAUGACUUCGAAGGAAGUAUGGAGCGGAUAACCACUGGCCAUAGAUCAUUUCAGAAUCUUUGAGUGCAUUGCAUAUGCCCAUGUUCCAAAUCACAAGAGAAAAAAGCUAGAUGAGAAGGGAGAGAAGUGUAUUUUUCUUGGUGUUAGUGAUCAAUCAAAAGCUUACAAUCUUUAUAAUCCUAGCACUAAGAAAAUUCUGAUAAGUGGAGAUGUUAUUUUUUAUGAGAAUCAA